GGGUGAGGGGCGCCACCGAGGAAGCGCCCACCGGGCUCCCGGGGCUGCCAGGCCCCAAAUUGAGGAAGUUGACUGCCAGAUCACACUCUGUUGGCCCACGCAGAUAGAUUCCAUUCAUCCUUUCUAAUGUCUACACCAUAUUUUGGAUAACAUGCCAUCAUCUCACAUUGUGUUGAAAGAAGAAACCAGAAUGUUGGGGUUGAUGUAUGCCAUAUGGAUGAAUUUAAACAGUUUCGGCCUUGCAAUAAUUGGUAUACUUCUAAUUGCAUGUGAAAUUAUACUCUUUUUAACGAAAGAUGAAACUAUUCAGUGGCCACAUGUACCCAGUAACAGAGGGAGCAAAGCAAAUCUUAUCCUCAAAGAACUGCAGCUGCUUGUUAGAUCUACCUGGUGGUUCCAUAGAGAAACUGCUCAGAGAACCUGCCUUUACCUCGCCUAAAACAGAACUAUCCCGGAGCUCAGCAAAGGAGUCCAUUCAUCCUCUAUAACUGCUAUACAAUAUCUCUGUUAAAAUGCUGAGAAGAUUUAUCCUAAAAGAAGGCACCAAAGCAAUGGGGGCUGUGCAAAUAAUGAUUGGCCUGAUUCACAGUGCACUGGGAACUCUCUGAAUUCAUUGGAUUUUGCUAAGAGAGGAUUCAAGUGGUUCUGGUCCUAUCCCUAUAAUUGCUGUAGUAAUUUACUCAUUUUUGUCAUUAUUUUUUUUCAUCAACUCAGGAUCCAGUAGUGUAAUACAGAAGCCUGUUACGAGAUAUAAGCAAUUGUAAUGAACAGCAUAACUAUUUGUGUGACUACACUUGGUAUAAUUCUAUUAAGCAUGGAGAUUGCAACUUUUGCAUUAAAUGCAACCACAUACAAUUGGUCAAACGCACUUUGCCCUCGGAAAUCUCACUGUCGGAAUCCUUGGAAAUCACACCACGCACAACUUCUAUUUCUUCAUAAUUUGCAAAGAACCAGUGUGACUCCAGUCAAGAACAAAAGAUUAAUUGUGAAUUAGCGAAGAACUCUAAUUUUUUCAAGCAGCCACAUGGAAAACGCAUUCUAAUGAAAUCCUUUCCAUUGCUCUUUUUUC
rnacentral:lncRNA from 1 species